rnacentral:misc_RNA from 1 species
UCAUUAUCAUACAACCGAGGUGCGAGGGCUGUCGCUGACCCCGUAGAAAGGUCGUGCACGCCCAAGUGCUCUCACACAAUCCAUCACACCCCCUUGUGCAUCACCGCGUGGGGUCCCCCUUUGCCGGGAGAACCUGCGUUUCCACAUUAAACUCGAUAAAGUGUAGAAUGUUUAUUUUUGCGAUAUCACACGCAAUCAAUACAACUUUCAACAACGGAUCUCUUGGCUCUCGCAUCGAUGAAGAACGCAGCGAAAUGCGAUACGUAAUGUGAAUUGCAGAAUUCAGUGAAUCAUCGAAUCUUUGAACGCACCUUGCGCCCCUUGGUAUUCCGAAGGGCACACCCGUUUGAGUGUCGUGAAAUCUUCAAAACCCUUUUCUUUGAUCAACUUUGGUCGGGGAAAGGGGAUUUUGGACUUGGAGGUUUAAUGCUCGCCCUUUGAUUUUGAAAGCGAGCUCCUCUCAAAUGAAUUAGUGGGGUCCGCUUUGCUGGUCCUUGACGUGAUAAGAUGUUUCUACGUUUUGGAAUUUGGCACUGUCCCUUGGAUGCCUGCUUCUAAUGUCUCAUGGCACAAUGAUGGUGCUCCGGUCACCGCCGUCUACAUCGGCGGGAGGCUGGACCCACGAAAAAAAACCUUGACCUC